AAGUUAUAAUCUUGAAUUUUACAUAUAAGCAUUAGGCCAGAUUCAUCAAAUGUGACAUCCCUUACUAAUAAUUGAAUUUAGACGAUUCAGGACACCACAAUCUAUAUUCCUUAACCCCCAAUGUGUGUUAAUAAGACAAUAUAAAGAGACAAACUUCUUUUAGCCUCCUGUAGGGUUCGUCAUAUACAUCACUUAAAUAUAAACAUAUGACAUAAGAGCAAGUGAAGACAACCAAUAUAUUCGCAAAAUGUAGAAUGUCACAAUAUUCUUAAAGAAGGGAUGGCUAUCCAGUAAGCCUUCGCGCACAGAAUUCGUUUGCAAUCAUGAGAUUUGACGAAAUGCUGAAUUGUGUCGUGAUAGAUCCGUUAAAAUUUGUCUUCUAAGCCACGAAUAUCGUAGUGCCGGUAUGUGAGAAGAUUUCGUCCUACUGCCACAGAAUAUAAAUUUUGCUAAGCCAGCAUUGUGAGAGACUAUACUUAGAACUUAUCCUCCGAGAAGUCCAUAGUCGAAAUAAUAGAUGCUUCUUUUUCAUAUUCGUUCAUUACACACUAAGACUUCCGAUUGAAUUGCGUGCGGUUGAGUAUGAUUGCCCUACUACGGUCUUGAUGGAUUUCGAAUACAGUGGAUCCAUAUAACCCGUCACUCUGGCAGAAUUCUUCAAUAGCAUCAUAUAGUAUUCUGUUUGUUCGCAGCACGAAGUUACCCUAUAAUCCAUUUGUGUCGCUUUCGUAUAUUGCUGGUUAGUCGGUUACGAUUAUAAUUUUCUGCGCGUGGCAUUCCGUAUAAGUGAGAGUGUUCAGUAGAUCUUAGCUUUUUCGUUGUAUCCUCUCAAUCCCAUAUGUAAUCCAUACUUCCUCUCUACUCACCUUUGACAAUAAUUUUUAUCUACUCCCUACAUCUAUUCUGGUUUAAGGCUCUUUUGCUAUAUAAGGUAUUGAGGUACCGCCCACACUAACUUGUAGAAGGGGUGAUCAAUAAAAUGUAUACAACACGUAUCAUAUAGAGUCGCGAACCAUGGUAGGAUUAGAGAUGCGAAAAAAAGCAGGUCCCCUCCCUAAAGAUUCAGAAUGGAUUUAGGGCAUAUAUUAGUACCUUUUUGGUUCAUUAGGACCCGCAGAAAAGUGUAUAUGGUUUAGGCCUUAGUUUUGCAGCCUAGCUUGGACAUUGGUUAGAGGCAUCUGAAGAAUUUUUUAUUAUGCGAUAGAAUGGAUGUUGAGGAAAAGUAUAUAGCGAAUAUGAUUUUGCCAGUCUCCGAUGAAACAGCAGAAAAAUAUAUCGGUAAUGUAGCCGACUAACAACUGCAUCAGUAUGAUGUCGUUUUUGUGUGUAAUUUAAUUACAAAAGGACUCUGACUAAGCUUUUUUCAUCGUCCUGGGUUUGCUCACGCGCAUCUGCGAAAACGAAUUAAAACGAAAUUCUACGCGAUUUCCAAGUUUCACUUAAGUGAAUAGUAACUCGAUUUUCCGGAGAAGCCACGGUGGGAAGAUUGGCUUCUGGCUCGUACCGGACUCUAUUCUAUAGCAUCAAUAGCUCGUCGAACCGGUUCAGCUAUUCUGGAACUAAAUGACUCUGACGGAUUUUGAGUUUGACGCACGGAAUUCGGAGAAAAUCCAAAAAUACAUGUUAUAUGUAUUUACGUGUGUGUUUCCUUCUAUUCGAAGAAGGUUGAGUUUUGUCGUGAACCGUGGCGAUCGAGACGAAACGAAGAAUCCGCCUUUGUAUCUGUCUCGUCGCUGGAUGCAAUGGUGUGCAAUCCGUUCGCAAAUCUGAUGACGGAAUCUGCGGAGAUCGCCGCGUUGAUCGAAGAGGAGUCGGAGUUAGCCAAAACGUUAUUUGUCGCAAAAGUUGCGAUAUUUUUAUGUAUCGUUUCCGACGGAUGCACGUGAGGGGUUUCGAUGCUUUUAGUUGUACUGUAGGAUUCGGAAUGAAAUAUUGAGGUUCGGUGACUUAUUUGCAGAUGUUUGUAUCGUUGUUUAUAUAGUGCGUUCUAGGGUGUUUGACCCUAACCCCUAACCCUAGCUCAGCAGCCAGCUACCACUAGUCGCGCCCAGCCACCUUCACCCUUCCCUGCCCUUGCUGCACAGCCGGCCGUCGCGGUGAGCCGGGCGCCGACGAGGCCAUCAUCCAUCUCUUCACUCCUCUUCUCUCUCUCCUAUCUCCUUCGGGUUGUGUGAAGGCCCGGGGUGCGUUCCUUGCAGACCCUCCCUGGACUUCAGUGCUCUGGCAACUCAUUCCGCGCGACCGCCGCCCGUCGCUGCGCCGCAACGCAGACCGCUCCAGCGCCUGCAGCAGCCCAGGCCCGAGCUCAAGCGAGCUGUUGCAGCCGCGUGCCGCGCGCCGCCACGCCUGAGAUCGCUCCAGCUGACAUCCCCCGUGCCCGGGCGCCCCUUCCCGCCGGUCGCCGCCGCCCCGGCGCGCAGCCGCCGCCGCCUCGGCCAGCCCGCAGCCGCCCCAGACCCGCUCGGGCCGAGGCGAGCGUGCGACUCCACCCUCGCGUCGCCGCCGCCCUGGGCCGCCCCUGUGGCACCUCCCCGACCUCUGGCAGUCGGCCGCCUCUGCCCCGAGCCGCCCCGAGCGCCGCUGCCGCCGCGCGAGCCGCCUGCAGCCCUCCAACCCGAGCCCGAGCCGAAGCCGUGUGCGGCCUUUUCCUCGCGCCGCCGCCGCCCUGAGCCUCCUAUGCCGCCCUUCCCCGACCUCCUGCAGCCCGCCUCCACCGUCCCGGAGCUCCCCGGCCGCCGCCGUGGCCGCAGGAACUCCUGGAACCCGUGCCCUAGCCCGUGCGGGCUCAUCUUGCCCCGCCGUCGCCGCCGCCGCUCCCAGCCGCUGUCUGAGGUGAGCACCUCACUCCUCUCCUCCCCCGCACCCAUCCCUGGCCUCUGCGCGCGCCGCCAUGCCGCCGGAAGCCGGCCGGAGCAAGCUUGCUCCGGCCAAGCCCGAAAUGGGGCUUUUGUGGGAGGGCUUACUGUUCUGGGCAUCCCGAGCUUCCCCGAUCUCUACGGAAGGGAGCACGAUGAUCCUGGCAAGUCUUUGAUCAUCGUGCUCACCUUAGUUUCUGUCGGGGAGACUCCGUUCCGCUGAUUUGGCGAUGUCGCUCCGUUUCAGCCUUUUUAGCUGCUGUUUUGGGCUUGCGCACGUUUAUCCGGCGAUCCGAGGCUGUCCUGAUGCCUCCGGAGGUGAGCACGGUGAUCGUUAGUCAGUGCUGAUCACAAUGCUCACCUUCCCGUGGAUCAGAAGUGUCCGGUUAGUUCUGUUCGGCGCGAUCUUCCCUGACUGCGCGCUAUUCGCUGAACCUUCGGGUUGCUCCCGCGCUUCCCACAGCGAGCCGCUGUGCUCCGGAUCGUGAGCACGGACUCCGGUACGUCGAGACCUGUCUGUACGUGUCUCUGCGGACUUUGAAAGUCCUCGGUUUACGUGAACGAGCUGCUUGAUCGCUCAAAUUACAUAAAAUGAUGAUAUUUUAUGUAAUUAGAGGGUCUUUUAUGCAAUUGUGCUUUGCGUGGCUACUGUGGGCAGUGUGUGGGAGUUUGUUAUGACCGCUGGACUGAUUGCCCAUGGUCCGUUAGCCUUUGCGGAAAUCGGUAGGUCGAUUUCGGUGCGUUUUGCGGCGAAAUUCGCCGAAAGAACGCGGUUUCGGUUCGGAUCCUUUCCGACGGUGUUUGGUUGCUUCGUGUUUUGUCGCUGAGCCUUGUUGGCUGGUCACCAUCGUCAUUUUGUGGGUUCGAUGAUGAUAGGUGAGCGACGGAGGGUUCCGGUGUCGAAAUAGACACUUCCGGGAAUCCGGAUUCGUACGAUUAUCCGGCGAUGAUCGUAUUGUUGUGUGACCUCGUGUUCGCUGCCAAGGCAUCCAAAUUGGAGUGCUUUGGGGCAGCGGGUGACUCGUGGCACGAGUCGGUGAGUUCGGGACACUUAAUGGGUCCCGACGGCGUCCCGGUGUGGUUUUCGGGACUUCCGGUGAGUUACGGGGAUCGGUUUUGGGAAACCGAUUCGGGGAUCUUGUGUGGGGGUUUGUGAGUCUCGUGCUUUGGGUUAGUGGUUUGGAUACUGACUUGGUGGAUCUUCUUAGGUUCGGUAGACUCUGUGCGUACCCAGUGUUCUGACGCGACAGUGACAGGUGGGUGUUUCGAGCUGGUAGUCGGUGAGAGCAUUUCACCUUCUUCUCCUGUUUUUCUAUUCCAGUAUUUUAGUCUCUACAUGUCAUUGUUUGCUUAUCUUUCGUAUAUCGUACCUCUUUGAUUGCAUUUGGUUAGUAGUUGAUAGACAUGUAGAGCAAGUUGCAUUUGUAUUUCAGUAUCUCUGUGGACCUUGGGUCCAGGCAACACAUCGACUCUCUUGUCGUGUGUUUCGAUCUGGUUGAUCGAGGUUUGGCGUUGUACGCCCUAGCAUCCAUUUCAGUUCGGCGUUGUACGCCCUAGCAUUUAUUUCAGUUCGGCGUUGUACGCCCUAGCUUCUAUUUCAGUUUGGCAUUGUACGCCCUCGUUGUUGGCUUCGGCCUAGGCACCGGCUUUAGCCGGGUUUGUUUUUGUUUGAGCAUACCAGCAUGACUUAGUCACGGCACUUGGGGGUAUUCAUGACACCGGAUCGGUUUGGCCACCGAUCGGAGGUGUACUUAUCCGGAUAGGUCGUCCUGCGGGGCGGAUGGAUCAGGUCGGUGCAGUUAGUGACAGGUAGCGCUUGAGGUCUGCGGACCGAUACAGCAGGCACAGAUUGGGUACAGUUUCUGGUUCAGUACAUUGAGGCAUUCUUUGCAUUGUUUUCUAUACAGUAGCAGGUUUAUUUAUUGCUUCCUAUUUAUCUGUUGUAGCUACUGUAGUUCUAUUUCAUAUCAGCUUACAGAUAUAUACUUGUUUAUCUAUCUCCUUUGGUUUCCGGUGAUUACGACUUGCCUUCGUGGCUCUGUCGUACCCACUGAGAAAACCAUGGUUGCGGUUUCUCACCCCCCUUUCCCCCCCCAGGUGACAGAGACGAGGAGUUGGAUUUUGGGCUCGACGAGAGGACGAUCUAGUUAGACGGCAGUAGCGACCGUCACCCUGGUUAUUUCUUUCCCGCACUUAGUAGUUUUCUUAAUAAUGGUUCAGUUAGCUGAUCUUAUGUAUGCUUGAAUGUAUGUGAACUGUGGUGUUGGUUUCUUUUAUACAUGAGAUUGGAGUUUUCGAUCUGUGGUUUUGGUUCUGUGGAGAUUUGGUUUUCUUGUAGUUAUGCAUCGUGGUUUUCUACCCCUCGAGGUAGUCGGUUUUCAAAAUAGAGUUUCCGUGUGGGAAACAGUUUUAAAAAGGUUUUCGAAUGGUUUUUAUGAAUGAAUGAAUUAGAGUUUAAAAACAAAAGCUUCCGUGUGGGGAGCACUUUUAAAUAGAAUGUUUGUUGUAUUGUGCAUUGCAUCAUCCAGCGCCUAAGGAGUGCUUAGAGGCAUGCAUCAUUCUAAGGAUUGUUAGCUGUAUGGGAUUGCAUAUCAUGCCUUGGUUGUUGAUUGGUAAAUGUAGGUUGUGGUUGAGAUCCUGUUGUAUCCGUUGGUACGCCGUGCAAAUACAAAGGAGACUCUGUCCGAGUGGACAGAGGAACUUUAUAUUUGUGGCGGGUCUGUACGUCGCGUGGGCCAGGUUGAAAAAAAAAAAAAUGGCACGUUUUGCGCAACUCUGUUUUAGAAAGGCUUUUAAAAUCGGCCCCGGGGCGUGACAGGCCUUAAAGCUGACUCUCUUUUGUUUGCCAAGAACACAAUGCUCGCAGAAGUCCAACUUUUCUAAACUCUGACUACCAAGUAAACCUCUCUCGCCCAACUUCAUCAUACCAUAUUCACUCAUAUGGCCCAGUCGCAUAUGCCAUAAUCUGGUGCUAUCCGAAUCUGACAUAGAAGAAGAAGUCACCGUUGCUGAACCUGUCACAGUGGAACCCUGUAGGACAUAUAACAUGUCGGACAACUUGGCCUUCAUCACUACAAGAUUCCCUUUAACGACCUUCAUUAAUCCAUCAGCUGAAGAAUACUUAAAGCCUUUAGUAUCAAGUGUACCCAAUGAGAUCAGAUUUUUCCUCAUAUCCGAAACAUGCCGAACCUCAGAUAUAGUCCUCACUACUCCAUCGAACAUUCGUACCCGAACAGUGCCAAUUCCAAUAACUGUGCACUUAGAGUGAUUUCCCAUCAAUACAUCUCCACCUUCAAUAGGCAUGUACGUCGAGAACCAUUCUCUAUGUGUACAGAUAUGAAAAGAACAUGCGGAGUCCAUAAGCCACUCAUCCUGUCUGCGUGUCUUAUCCGUAACUGUAAAGACGAUAUCAUUUUUAUCUGAUUCUCCUGCUACAACACUUGCUUCUGCUUCAGUAUUGGUGUUUUUCUGAUUUUGAUUUUUAUCACCAUUAUUCUUCCGCUGCUCUUUAUUUUUCAACUUGAAACAAUCAGCUUUUAUGUGACCCUUCUUCUUACAAUAACCACAAAUCAGAUUCCUGUAUUUUGACUUUGAUCUUGAUGUACCUCUAUUACCGGAACCCUUCUCCCGAGACCUCCCUCUAGCGACCAAACCUUGUCCUGAAGCUCCACCUGUCUCGUUGCUUAUCUGCAUGUCAAUUCUCUCUUUUGAAAGUAAAGAGGAUUUAACAUCAUCGAGACAUAGAGUAUCUCGUCCAAACAAGUCUCACGAAAAUUCUUAUAAGAGGGCGGUAGAGAACAUAAUAAUAAAACGGCUUCAUCUUCCUCCUCGAUUUUGACAUCUAUCGAGCGGAGAUCCAUAAUGAUAGAAUUAAAUUCAUCUAAAUGCGACUUAAUAGAGGUACCUUCCGCCAUGCGCAACAUGAAGAGACGUUGCUUCAAAUAUAACUUGUUGGUGAGAGAUUUCGUCAUAUAGAGAGACUCCAAUUUAAGCCAAAGCCCUGCAGCGGUCUUUUCAUCCAAGACCUCGCGCAAUACCUCAUCGGAUAAACAUAAUUGUAUUACCGUAAGAGCUUUAUCAUCAAUCUCCUCCUUCUGCUCUGCCGUUAACGAAUCGGGCAUCUUUUCUUUUCCCAACAGUGCCUUUUGCAAUCCUUGCUGCGUCAAUACUGCACGCAUCUUGACUUGCCAUAAUGCGAAACUAUUAGUCCUGUCAAAUUUCUGAAUCUCGAACUUCGUCGUCAUCUUAAUCCUCAAAGGGAAUAGAAAGGCUCUGAUACCAGUUUGUUAAAAUCGGAACGGCGAAAAAUAGAUCCAGAAAAUAAUUUAAUGCAAGAAAAGAAAAGAUAAGGAAAGAACACACCGAUAUUUACAUGGUUCGGCCAACGGCCUACGUCCACGGGCGAAGACGGAGCAAAUAAUUUAUUAAUGUCGAAAAGGCGGAGUACAAAGAAUAUCUCUCAAAAGAACCCAAAGCUUUAUUAGAUCCGAAAACGCCGCACCAAGCAACUCCAAAAGCGGCUUCUCUCUCAACCCGUACGGACCAACACCUUAAUUAAUUAGCAUGGCAUGUGCGGCUCCUUCUCAGAUACUCAACUAAUUAGAGCUCCAACUCCCUCGGCUCAUAUUGCUGCCACCGUACAGAAUUAGCAUAGAUGCGGCGUCAUUAGAGCUUGCCUCUAAUUAGAGCACGGCAGGCCACCAAUAACUUAAUUAAUUUUGCAUGGCUCUUAAUUUGGUCGCGACUUCUUUAAUUUGGCCGUAGCAUGUAUAUAUAAUACAUGUCUCCUAAUUAGAGUCUAAUUCUAAUUCAAUUAAAAUUAUACUCCUAAUUAUAAUCCAUAUAUGCCAAAUUAAAUCUAAAUAAUAUCUAAUCCCAAUUAGAUUAGGAUUUAUCCUCAAAUUUAGAUAACUACAAAUCUAAACCAAAUAUAACAUAGGCUUCUCAAUACCGCACGAGCGAGCAUAAGUAGCGUAGGCUAACUCCGGAGUGCCGGCUUGUAGGGAGCGACCCUCACAAGCAUGUGCGAAUGAGCACCAAUGGCAAGCAAGUAUAGUCAUCGUCACAACGAUCCGGUCAUCAUGGCUCAACCAUGAAAAUGAUCGCUAGCAACCCAUAGGUCUAGUCCAAUGUCCCAAGUGAAUGUUUAACCAUUCAUUAUGUCCAAUGCCCCUUUUAUGGCAUUAUAUCUCACUAUAUCAAAAUCUUGUUCCAACACUAAUGCCACUUCAUGACAUUAUGUUUACUAAGUCUGCACAUAUUCCAAGCCUAAUGCCCCUUUAUGACAUUAGCUUGCUAAGUCCAUAUCUAGUCCAAGCCCAAUGUCGCUUUGUGACAUUAGCUUACAUGAAUACCAAUUCCAAACCUAAAGUCUCUUUAUGACAUUAGUUUACUAUACCAAUUCCGAGCCCAAUGUUUCUUUAUGACAUUAGCUUACUAUACCAAUUUCGAGCCUAAUGUCUCUUUAUAACAUUAGCUUACUAUACCAAUUCCGAGCCCAAUGUCUCUUUAUGACAUUAGCUUACUAUACCGAUUUCGAGCCCAAUGUCUCUUUAUGACAUUAGCUUACUAUACCAAUGAUGAGUCUAAAUCUAAGAAUGCAUUGCACUUGUCAUUUUCACUAUAUGAAAUAUAAUCCAAAUCCACACAUAGGAGUGCUAUCCAUAGGCCCAAGCCCAACAUGCAAACUCUCUACUACAUAGAGGUCCAAAAAUGUAUUAUACAUAACAUGUGCAUUUUAAGCAUUUCAAAAUUCUCAAAUAUUCUGUCUAGUAUGAAUAUGCAUGCAUUUUCAUUUUACGAUAAGUAAAAACCAUCAUAGGGAUGAUUUAUUCCGUUUUGGUGAGGCCAAACCCACCAAGUCUCCUCGCAAUCCUUCGUUUGCGCCGACGAAGAUGCCCACAAGCCUCCUAGCUCCCUAAAGGUUAAAUUAGGAGUGUUACACGAACGUUACGAACAACGAAUAGGUUAAACAUUAACCAACUCAAGAAAAUGCCAAAAUCUCACCUUAUAUGGUGAAAAUUUCUCUCAAACUCCAAAUGAGAGCAAGAUCUCACCAAAUCCAACCUAAACAAAGGUUCUAAUUAAACCAAUUAGGUUCCAAAAGCCUCUAACCAAAAAUCCCCAUUUUAAAACCCUAGUUCUUCCAUUUCUAGGGUUCCAACAAGAAAAUCCAACAAAACAUGUAUUAAAUGAGGAAUACAUGUUACCAACAUCUUUAAAAGCUCCAAUCAAGGCUCAAAAUGCUCUAGGGUUGAGAAUCAUCCCUCAAACAAGCUCCUACCCGAGCUCCCAAGCUUCUCCUAUGGUGGAAGUGGCACCAAGAAGCAUAAGGGAGCAAAAAGAAGUGAUUAAACUUCAAAAAUCUGUAAUAACUGAGAUUUUUCAUUUAUUGAUUUCCUCCAGGCCCCUCCCGCGACCGGCCGCCGCCCGCCGUUGGCCACCACGCCGCCGGCUCUAGUUGGGAAGUGUGAAGGAGAGCCCAAGCCCGAAGGGCCGCCGCACCGCCGCCGGCCUCCUCCAGCCCCGCUGAGACCACGCCGCGGCCUCCGGCUCCCCUUCUGCCACGUGGGGAACCACCCGACGCCGUCGCGGACCUUCGGUUCGCCCGGGCUGGAGCCGGGCGUGCACUGACCCGCCGGUGUCCUUCGAGGUCGCCGCCGGCCGCCGCGCGCCCCUGCCGCCCCCUGCGCGCGCGGCCCAUCGGCCUCCAGCGGCCCCGGCUGACCCCCCGCCGCACCGGCUUCGCUCCGCUCCUGCGUCGUGGGCUCGGCCGAGCCAGACCCGACUGGGCUCGACCGACGUCCCUCGGCCCCACCGAGGCCGCCGCAAGCUCCCACCGGCCCCGGCCGCCCCCUCCUGCGGCCUCCUCUCGGAGCCGGUCCACUCCCCCUUCGAGCCGAAACUACGGGAGGGCUCGUGUUGUUAUCUUUUUCCACCGUCCAGCCCCGAUUCCCUCUCGGCUCUCCACCGGCCCCACUGAAAAGGCCGCCGGCCUCGUCGGACGGCCGCCGGCCCCGCACUCGUGCUCGACCCGUUCCUCUUCCACCCCACCAAUCCCGUCGACCCCUUUUAAUCCCAAUCCCAAAGGAAUCGGCUUGGGAUUUUGGGGUGAAUAUAGUGUACUGAUUAACAGCUUUUGGGGAGGAUCAGGUUAUGGGAAAAAUGGUUCGGGGGACGGUUGUACAACCACGUAGAACGUACUAGCAGGGAGGCUCUAAGCUUAAGAGCGUUCUACCGCGUAUUUUAUAACCCGAAAAAGCGCUAAAUAGCCAAAACAGUUGAACCGGAGAAACGCCUGAAAAGCGCUAAGGGCUUCUAGGCAGGCAGCCUAAAGGCUUGCCUAACGCGGUCGCGCUAGUCGUGCUGACCCCGUAGCUUAGAUCGUAAAGCAAAGCAGACUUUUCCAGAGGCUAAACGCUGUUUUGGGUGGGAGUGACCAAGGUAGUUUUGGUGUAUAUCCAUAUUAGUAUACAUUUUUGGUAAUUUGGGGAAAAAGAGCUGUUGGUACGUAGUCUUGGGUUAAGGCAGUCGCGGUUACCAAGGUCAUAUCAGCUCUCCAAGCUUUACUCGAUAACCUUCCGAUAUAAGUCUCAGGCUAUGCGCAGCUUUCAGGUGAGAUGAGGCGCCGGAGAGGCUUUUUGGCCUCAAUGAUAAGUGAAUUCAGCUUGAAGGCCCAGCGCAUUGAAGAGGCAAAAUUGAGCAAAAGAGGACUUUAAACUGCUCAUGUGAAUAUUAAUAUAAUGUGUGUUCUUGUAGCAGUUUGUUUUCCCAAGNGUGAAAGUAAAUUAACUAAAACAUUUAUACAUUGUAUCUUGAUUACUUUAAAUCAAAUACAAAGCUUACCAUUUUGUUUACAUACACACAUUCUCUAAUAUAUACAUUUGCCAUCUCUCAAAUGAAUAAUUUACAUUUUCUCUUCAUCAACUGUAAAUAUAUGAAAUGUACAAGGUACAACUAUACUCAAUGGAUGUCGCUAUCUAUUGCGCGCUGUCCUUGUCACGAUCCUCAACCACCCCGCACUCACUAGAACCUGCAUAGUUAGUGGGGUGAGAACUACUGAAAGUUCCCAGUGGGUUCGGUUGCCGACCUUGCCGACUCACCCACUAGGUUUAUUCAGGCAUCUGUAGGAAAAGAAUUAGAUAACAAACUGUAACAACUGAGAUUUUUCAUUUAUUGAUUGAACCCUUUUGUUUGACGAUGUUCUUGUGUGUAAUAUAAUUAUAAGUGUACUCGUCAAAUUUCAGGAGAAAACGAGUUAAAACGGAGAAGUUACGCGACCCGGAAGUUCGACUUAAGUGAAUAGUAACUCCGGUUUUCCGGAGAGGCCGCGGAGUAGAGUGGACUUUCGACGCGUAUCGGACUCUGAAUAUAGCCUUCCAAUAGCUCGUUUCGAACCUCUCGGCUAUACUGGAACCAUUGGCGCUGACGGAAUUGGGUUCUGAUGCAUGGUUGUCGAGAAAAAGGGGUUUAAUGGUUUUUACAUAUGAUUAUACCUAUAUGUGGUUUUGAUGGAACCAGUGAGGGUGGGUUUUGUCGCAAAUCGGAGACCUUUUCAGACGAAACGAAAUGCUAGAUUCGAUGCCCCAGUCGUGCUGAUCGCGCUGGCGCAAUCCGUUCGGAAAUCCGACGGACGGAUCUUCGGGAAUCGUGAAAAGUCCGCUUAGAGGUCAGUAGGCAAAAUCGAUUAAUCGCGAAAAGGUCCAUUAUUUUAUGCGCGAUCUUGCGCAAAUUCGAAUGUCGAGGGACCUAUGCGGAUUUUCCACAUGUUGACUGGGGGCUUGGUAAAAAGGGUAUUAGACUAGGAAGGGUUUUAGACAAUUUGUCGCGUGGUAUAAAUGAGGUUUUAGGGUUCAGCCAAGGAAACCCUAACCCUAAUUUUUCCCCAGCUGCCCUAACCUCCCCUUGCCCAGCUCGUGCUCGCGCCCCGGCCGCCGGCAGGCUGCUCCGGCCGCCGGAGAAGUCACCCCGGCCACCUCCUAGCUCUUCCCUAGACCCGACCUGCCACAUUUCGAGUCUUGUGCUCGGGAGGGCAUCUAGGCCGAGCUUCCCCCUUCCCUGGCCGAGACUCUCCUCCGGCGUCCUCCCCCGCCGGCCCCGGUCACCCUCGAACGCCGUCGGAGCCACCCCGGCUCCCUGCAGCCAGCUCGGGUCAGCCCAGACCGAGCCGGCUCGGGUGCAGCGUCCUCGCCUCGCCUCGGCCGCGCCGCCCCCCAGUCGGUCCCGGCGACCUCAGGCAACUCGACGCGCGCGUCCCCGUCGUCCCCGCGCGCCGCCGGCCGCCGCUGGAGCUUCCUGUGGCCGCCCAGUCACGUGCGGGCCGAGGUCGAGCCCGCUUAGCUUCCGGGCGCUGCCGCAGCCCACCAAGGGGUGCACCGCCUUCCUCUCGGCCUCCGGCGCCGCACCAGAGUCGCUCCGACCUCCUCCGGUCGCCGCCACGCCGCCGGGAAGCCCGAACCCGAGAGGAAGUGUGAAGGGUUGAUCCCGGCCGCCGCACCACCGGUUGCCGCCCGCCGCCGGCCAGCACCCUCCCCGGACCUCCUGGACCGAGUGAUCCCUCCUCCGGCCGGACCGCCCGCCUCCCGGCCGCCGGCGACCAACCCUAGCUCUCCUCGGGUCUGGUAAGGACAUUUUAUGUUCCAGCACUGUUUUCCGAGGUUCCGGUCUCUUUUCCGGUGAUCCGAGAAGCCUUCUAAGUCUCGGGAAGUGAGCACGAUGAUCUACAACUCGUGCUGAACAUCGUGCUCACCUCCAACAACGGCGAAGAUGCCCUGGUUUGUAAGUUAGUCGCGAUCUUCGCGCUGUGCGCGCAGUUUUUCAGUACUUCGCGUCGCUCGUGCGCGCACCGCAGUGGCCGGCAGUGCUCCGAAAGGUGAGCACGGCCUCCGACAUGCUGAAACCUGUCAGCGAGUACGACGGUCGGAUUAAUCGACCUCCGGUUUGCGUGCACGGUCCAGAAAAGCCUAGAAAUCACAUGAAAUGAUGCGAUUUCAUGUAUCGGUAUGGGCUUUUAGGUUUUCCGCUUCGUUGUAGAUGCUGUAGGCAGCUUGUUUGGGCUGAGGAUAACCUCUGGACUGAUCGUCCAAGGCCCCCAAGCCCUUGCGGAAAUCAAAAGUGAUUUCCGGAGCGUUUUCGGCGAAAUCCGCCGAUAGAACGCGGUUCCGGUUCGGAUUUCAUCCGACGGUGCCUCGUGGCUGAUUGUAGCGUCGCUAAGCCUGGUUGGCUGAUCACCCGCGUCGUUUUGAGGGUUUGGAAAUGACGGGUGAGCGACGGUGAAGUUCUGGUGCGAUUUUCGGGACUUCCGGUUUAUUCAGUAAUCGGUUUUGGGAAACCGGUCAUGGUUCUGGUGAGCAGGGGUCGUGAGUUAGCUUUUCAUGUCAGUGGGUUAGACCUUAACCCGUUGGACCUUUCGUAGGUUCGGUUGCACCGUCUUCACAGUCGAGAGACCUUCGUCAGAUACAUACAGGUGGGUACUUCGACCCGUAGUCGGUACAGUGGUGCACGCUCGGUGACGUUUCUUCACCCCUACUGUUUACUCUAUCUUAUAGUCAUAUUGAGCCUUGCAUCUACAUUUAUAUCUACAUUCCUCUACUCAGUUAUUUCCAUGUUGAUAUCAUGCUUAGGAGUAGAGCUGAUUUAUCUAUUCACUAUCAGUGAUUUGGUUGGGGCGGUUCCCCCUAUUGUGAUACCUAUGACCUGUUCGGUCGAGUUGCUACAGUUCCAUCUUGACUUACGUAGCCGAUUAGUUGCUGAUGGCCUAUACGGCCGGUGUGCCCUGAGGGGCCUGGAUUGUCGGCUAGUUGCCGACGGAUGAUCUUUGAGCAUACUACAUUGAUCGCCACUACAGGUACGCAUUUCACGAACACCAGCGGUCUGAUCCACCGCAAGAGGGUGUUCUUUUCCGGAAAAGUGGUUGGAUUGCCAACCCGUGAGCCCAGGGGCUUCAUUGCGAGGGUAUAUGCUUCUGACCCAGGGGCUUCAUUGCGAGGGUCAGGUACAGGUUGCAGUGUGGCAUGAGCCUGAGGUCUUCGGACCAAUAGGGCAGCGAGAUUGGGUACUUUUGAGCUUUUCGUCAGUUGACGCAUGCAUACAGUAGCUGUAGUGUUUAUUUCCAGCACAUCCUUAUCUGUUUAUUGUAGCUACUGUUUUACUUACCUGCAUCUAUACUUGUCAGCUCCUUACUUAUCAGCAUAUUUACUUAUCAACAUUUAUAUCUAUCUAGUUUCCCGUGACUAGUGAGUACCCCUCGCCCUCUACGGCUUGCGGUACCCACUGGGAGGGGAGACAUGUUUACAUGUUCUCACCCCCCGCCCCCAUUACAGGUGACGUAGCAGGUCCGAGUGGGACAGCUGGUGAGGAGCGUGUCUAGCGUGCGAUAGAGCUCCUUCCCGAGUCGGUUAUUCCUUUUACCCUUCAUGCUUGAAUAAAUACUUAGACAUAUUAUGGUUCAGUUUCUAUUUUAUUAUCUGACUAUCUGGGUUUUCAAUUGGUUUUGAAAGGUACUAAAGGAUUGGAGUUUUCUUGAAAUAAAACAGUUUUCUACCCCUCGUGGUAGCUGGUCUUGAAAAAGAAUGGUUCCCGUGUAGGGAUCAGUUUUCAAGUUGAUUUCUCUGUGGAUUUAUGGAUUUAGUAUUUCAAAAUCAGUUUCCAGGUAGGAAACAUUUUUAACUGAUAGAUGUGGAAUGUUAUUCUUAUUCAAGUCUCAUAUCUGUGUGUGUGAAUGGAAUGGAUGAAUGUUAUCUAUCUUGUUGUUCAUCUGGUUGUGGUUGUGUGUGUACUUAUACUCUGUUGUACUUGUGCGACGCCGUGCAAAUACAGGGGAGACUCUGUCCGUGUGAACAGUGGAACUCCUGUAUUUGUGGCGGAUCUGGCACACUCUGGGGUCAGAUUUUCAAAAAAAAUUUCAGACGCUUUUCCGCUACCUUUUAAACGAAAAGGGACCCCGGGGCGUGACAAAAUCUCAACUAAAUGAAGGAGAAUCAAAGAGAGGAAGAGAAGGGCUUCCCUACCUUCUCCUCCACUGGUCUCAGCUCAGGGGACCUCCAAGGGGUGUAGGGGAUAUUUGUAAUAAGGCUACAAUUCCAAAAACACCCCUCAAAAACUGCCAUUUCUAAAUCUGGCAAAGUGUAUCGAUACACGGGAAAGUGUACCGGUACAAAACCCUGUACACGCAAACUCGAGGCUCGGGUUGGUUGAGAAAUCGCAUUUAUACCGGUACAACCAUCGAGUUGUCACCGAUACACAUUCUGUACCGGUACAACCAUCAAGAUGUACCAGUACACAGCCCAGCAAAAUGUAACCCGAAAGCAGCCUAAGUCCAUCACUUUGGUGUCCUUAGCGCUACUUUAAAUACUACAAUUCUCGGGAUAUGAGCCAUAGGUCAGAACACUGUCAACGACCCUCCAAAAUAUCUGGAAAAACUCGGAACACUGAUGAAACACUUAAACCUCGCAAUUUUGCAAAGGUACAGUGUGUUACAUAAACAAUGUCGAAAAAAUAUAAAAUUUUAUUUCUAAAAACUUCAAAUAUUCCAGAUCAGUUUUUAAUGGUAUGGAUUGUUUAUUUGAAUAUUCUAAGAUUGAAAAAGAGACUAUAAUACCGGAGCUCCAAUACUGUAGAUAGUAUAGGAGCCUAACUCUUAUAAUAAAUAAGACUUUUAUUUUGAGAUAUGUGUCAAAAAACUGUACGGCUGCAAAAUACUUAAGCCCAAUUAUUAUUUGCGUUUCGGUCUGUCACCUUAUCAUUCUAACCCUAUCUCAUCUCACACUUCCAGUUGAUGAUUAGCUCUAAUAUCAAAUAUAACGAUCUAGCCCACUAGCAAUUAUAACUUACUGGGUCCAAACCAACAACCCAAGAUGUUUAAAUCCGCGCCGGUUAAUAUUAUUAUUAGUAGAUAUGAUCUCUUAUAUUUCCAAUCAUAACUUCAUUCCCCUUCGAUAUAGAACUAUUAGAUGUCACAGUUGUCAAUAUUUUUUCAUAAUAGAGGGUGUGAUUUUUAAUUUUUCAAUUUAUUUAUUUAUUUUUAUUUUUGUGUUUUUAAGGAAGUCUUGUGAUUUCAGAACGGCCGAUAAUGGCCUAUUGGUCGAUAGGGGUGAGAAUAGACAGGUUGAUUCUUGCUUUGCAGUUUUUUUUUUUUUUUUCAAAUUGAAUCUAAUCGGACUAGAUGCACAGACCAAAUCAUACUGAAUCUGAAUAAUUAAUUCUAAGAUGUAAUUAAUAUGAUUAGUUUCACGUUAAAAUCUUUACUUUGAAUAUUAUGAUUGCGAAAAUCUUAGUUAUUUAACUAUUCUCAAAAUUUAUAGUAUAUUUGUCACGCCCCGGAUUACUUGUUUCCCCGGGCUCGCUAACAGACCCGCCGUAUACAUAGGUAUUUUUCCUGUAUACGAAGCGAAAAAGUAGAAGUACCUGUAAUCAUACAAUACUACCAACAGUAGUAUACAGCAGCUAGGAAAAUAAACCAUAUAAAAAUGGUGGUUGAAUACAUACAUGUCAUCCAAGGUAUACAAACACUCGCUCUAGCGAGAUACAACAACAGUAUGUAAAGACCGAAAAACUACAACUACCUGUAGCUGGUGCUCCUCUAGCUCUGCGACUGGUCUGGAAGGGCUCUAGCUCGCGACGCCCUUGCCACGAUCAUGAUCAGUAACAGCAGCAGCCGAAGGCGACGGCUCUGCAAAAACAGUGAUAACAUCUAGGCGUGAGAACUACUGUAAAAACAAGUAGUCCUCAGUGGGUACCGCCCUCAACUCAUUGGCUCACCCACUAAGUCUACAGAUCUAAGCUCAGUGAUAGAAAAGGAAGCUGGAACAAAUCUACAGCUAUCUGCCACUAUCCUAUCAUGCUCUAAUACUACUAUCUGUAGAGUAAUGCAACCUCAGACCCAAAUCCAUAGGGACUGUGAAUACACCCGUCCCAGGGACUGUGAACGCACCCGUCCCACUGGUCUAACAACCAAAACUCACGUGCCCUCGGCACAAACUGAUGCAAAACCAGCAAUCUGGGUCCACCGUCAACCCCGACGGCACCCAACAGUCUGAAACAGCCUAGACACUGCUGUAAAAAUAAGCUCUGCAUCUCCGCACGAGCGUAACUGCAUUCUACACUAUUCCGAAUAUGCACUACCAACAAACUGCGGUGAUACAGAUCUACUACAGCUCCUAAACUUUCAGCAUAUCAAAUGCACACAACAGUGUGGAUACUAUCCGCGACAACUCCCGAGGCUGUUUGAGUAUCAAAUGCGCACUAACAGCGGGGAUACGAAGCACAACAGCUUCAGAAGUUAUCUGAGUAUCAAAUGCGCACAACAGCGGGGAUACGAAGCACAAAAGCUUAAGGAGCGAACAGAAAGGAUAGUGUAGAACCUAUAGUUAAAAUAUUACCCAAGCUCGGCAUCCCGCCCGAGUGUAAAUGCAUUCUAAACUAUCCUGAGUAUCCAUCGCGCUAAAACUGCAGUGAUACAAACCAACCCCGGCUCCUAGAGCUAAAUCAGGCAGUUUAAGCAUAUGACGGGUUAAAAUCGCUGGUUUUCUCCUAAGUCAAAUUCCAAAUCCAACAUAUAUAUUCAUCUAAUUAAUAGUCAUGCUCCCAAUUCAGAUUUCAUACAUGCUACAAUCAAUGAAUUUGAGCUACAACAUGAUAUACAAUAACCGAAAUCAUACAUUUGACUACAAGCACUUAGGAGCGAAACCGAUGAAACACCCACCUCUAGUGCAAUUCCCAGGCAGCAAGAAGGUCACAAAUUGCUAGAGGCCUCAGCCGAAAUUACCCACAACUAGCAACAAAGCUACUCGAAAGAUCUACACCCAAAAAAUCCAUCAAAAUCCAUCAACUCACCUAAUUUCAGCACUUAAGCUUAAUUGUCUCAACUCCAAUGUUAAAACUCACCUAAUAUCCUCCAAUUCAGGUGAGGCAAGUUACAAAACUAGUGAAUAAUGAUGGAGUAUCAAUCUCAGGUCCAAAAUCCUGCUCCUUCCAAGAAUUGCACCAAGAAAAACCCAAAAUCAGAUUUUCAGCUCAAAGUCACUAGCAGUCCAGAAAAAUAUGGAAUCGACCAAGCUAACCUCAACCAAAAUCUAAAAUUCAGGGUUUUCUGGAUUCCUCAGGAAGUCUAGAAUCCAGCAAACCAAGUUUCACCGCAAUCUGACCUUCCUACGUCUCACAGGAGCCAAAACACCGAAGGUCAUCACUAGAAGACUGCAGAAUCAACACUCUACCAUUUUCCAAUUGAAAGAUUGGACGAAAUUCGAGGAAAAUCGAGGAGUGGAAGAAAAAUCAGAGGUGCUACUGUGAAGAGAGAGUGAAAGAGCUCAGCAGGGUCACUCUCCAUCUAUUUAUAGGGUGUUGGAAUGGUAGAAUAAGCCCCAAGAAUAGCUGCUGCAAUCUGGUGUCCCUGCAGUCUCGGGCACUUUCGGGCGCCCGGACCCACCUUAUGGGCGCCCGAAUCCUCCAGGCUACAUAAAGUUUCCUCCUCGGACUCUCCGCCCGCGGUGCGUUGCGCCCGUAUCUGGCUGCGGCGGACCUCACCUACCACCAGCCACACGUCAGCGCAAACGAUAGUCACGAGAUGAACUUUCGGACCCACAUCCAUGCGCCCGAAACAUGGACCCGAAUUGGCUUCCAGUUCUGCUCAGUUCUGCACUCAACUUCUGGGCGACCCAAAGCCAGUUUUGGGCGCCCAAAUCUGUCAAAACUCUAGUUUUGCUUAUUUGAGUACGACCAGUCCAUUUCUGCAUCCAUUUCGCGCAGAAACGACCCGACUCAGUCUGACACUCUCCAGAUGUGUCGACCAGUCACUAACACUGAAGCCAAUCCUAUCCAAAGCUCAGAAGCACUACAUCCUCCCCCACUACAAAAAGUUUCGUCCGCGAAACUGAAUCACACCUCAAUCCUGAGCUUCAAAAAGGUAGGGGUAGGAUUCUCUCAUCACCGUCUCAGGCUCCCAAGUCGCCUCCCGCUCCUCGUGAUUACUCCACUACACCUUUACAAAAGGUAUGACCCAGUUGCGCAAUUUCCUCGACUCAUGAGCCAGAAUCCGCACCGGUCGCUCCUCGUAUCUCAGGUCCUUGCCAAUCUCUAGCGGUGUGAAGUCAAUCACGGGGGAAGGGUCGAACACGUAUCUCUUCAAAGCCGAGACGUGGAAAACAUCGUGAAUGCGGGCUAGUCGUAGAGGUAGAGCAAUCCUGUAAGCCACUGACCUGACUCGUUCCAAUACCUCAAAAGGGCCUACAAAAACGUGGACUAAGCUUUCCACGUACCCCAAAACGGCGUAUCCCUCUGGACGGCGAGACUUUAAGGAAUACAUAAUCUCCCACCUGGAACUCCAAGUCUCAUCUCCGGGUAUCAGCAUAGCUCCUCUGCCGACUCUGGGCUGCUAAAAUGUGCCGUCGCACCACUUUCACUUUUUUCCUCUGUCUCAAUCAGAAUCUCAGGCCCAAGCAUUUUCCUCUCACCCACAUCACUCCAAAACAAAGGGGAUCGACACCUGCGUCCAUACAACGCUUCAAACGGAGCCAUCUGGAUGCUCGCUUGAUAGCUAUUGUUGUACGCAAACUCAGCCAGUCUCAAUAUCGAUACCACCCUCCUUGAAAGUCCAGGACACAUGCCCUCAACAUGUCCUUAAGAGCCUGAAUGGUCCGCUCUGACUGACCAUCCGUCUGUGGGUGAAAUGCUAUGCUGAACUGCAACUCGUCAUCUUGAUACAUUUUAGUGCCACCGGGGUGUACACUAUAGGGAGAUUGAUGCGCUUCUUGCAUAAUCGCCCUUCGCAACUCGUCAUCUUUAGGCACACACCAUCGAUUUCGAAAUCGAAGUGUGCCAUUAGCUUCAAUACCAAAGUCUUCGGCAUUGCCAUUCUCAACUUCCCCUCGUAUCUUUUGAAGAUAAAGAUCCGAGGCUUGAAGAUCCUUGAUUCUUUCCAAUAGGGUCGGUUGCACAACUAAUGCGGCAAGUGUAGCCGGCACUCCCGGCACUACCACUUCCGACCCGAAUCGUUGCAUCUCCUUUUGCAAUAGCGGUUGGGGCGUAAUUGCCGUCGCUAAGUUCUCCGCCGAUUUUCUACUUAGAGCAUCGGCCACGACAUUAGCUUUCCCGGGGUGGUAUAGUAUAGUGACAUCAUAGUCCUUUAACAAUUCCAACCACCGCCGUUGUCGCAUAUUCAACUCCUUCUGGGUGAACAAGUACUUCAGACUUUUAUGAUCUGUGUAGACUUCACAAUGCUCACCAUAUAAGUAAUGCCUCAAAAGCUUUAGCGCGAAAAUCACCGCGGCUAACUCAAGGUCGUGAAUCGGGUAGUUCUUCUCGUAGCUCUUCAGUUAGCGCGAUGCAUAUGCAAUGACUUGCCCAUUUUGCAUUAACACACACCCGAGACCAACAUAAGAGGCAUCACUAUACACUACAAAAGUCUCUCCCGGAGUCGGCAAGGCAAGCACCGGGGUCGACGUCAACCUGUUCUUCAACUCUUCGAAGCUCCGAUCGCAAUCGUCACUCCAAACAUACUUUACUCCUUUAUGCGUGAGGCACGUUAGUGGAGUGGUUAUUUUGGCGAACCCCUCCACGAACCGCCGGUAGUAGCCCGCAAGUCCAAGAAAACUGCGGACCUCCGCUACAUUCGUCGGGCGAGGCCAAUCCUUUAUUGCCUCAACUUUCUUCGGGUCUACCGACACUCCGUCGCCCGAUACCACAUGACCUAAGAAUGUGACCUCCUUUAGCCAAAAGUCACACUUUUUCAACUUUGCAUAGAGCUUCUCCUGUCUGAGUAUCUGCAACACAGCUCUCAGAUGCUCUUCAUGCUCCUCUUCACUUUUCGAGUAAACCAACACAUCGUCUAUAAACACCACGACGCAUCGAUCCAACAGUGGUCUAAAGACUCGGUUCAUCAAGUCCAUAAACGCUGCCGGGGCGUUAGUAAGCCCAAACGGCAUUACCGUGAACUCAUAAUGGCCAUACCGCGUACGGUACGCCGUUUUGUGCACAUCCUUCGGCCUGAUCUUUAAUUGAUGAUACCCCGACUGGAGAUCAAUCUUCGAAUACACCUUGGACCCUUGCAACUGAUCGAAUAGAUCGUCAAUCCUUGGUAACGGGUACUUGUUCUUUAUCGUCACUUUGUUCAACUCGCGAUAAUCUACGCAGAGUCGAAGUGUGCCAUCCUUUUUCUUCACAAAUAGCACCGGAGCUCCCCAUGGUGACACGCUCGGCCUCACGAAGCCUUUAUCAAGCAAGUCCUGUAGUUGGCCUUUCAACUCCUUCAGCUCCACCGGUGCCAUUCUAUACGGAGCCUUCGAAACUGGUUCCGCCCCGGGAAUCAAGUCAAUGACAAACUCAACUUUCCUGUCCGGUGGCAGUCCCGGUAACUCCACCGGAAACACAUCCGGAAACUCGCACGCUACUCGAAUAUCUCCCAACUCUGGGUACUCUUUUCGAGCAUCCACCAUGGUUGCCAAAUAGGCCUUACACCCCCCUUUGAUCAUUCUCUUCGCCCUCACAGACGAUAUAGUCGCCGCGAAGCGCCUACUUUUGCACGCUUGGUAGAAUAACUCUUCUUGAUUAGGCUCACGAAAAGCGAUCACCUUGCUUUCACAAUCUAUCACCGCAUAGUACUUGGAGAGCCAGUUGGUCCCCAAGAUAACAUCAAAUCCCCACAUCUGAUCUAGCACUAGCAAAUCAAUCGGCAUAAUCCAAUCGCCUAUUUGCACUGGGCACGCCAAACACUCAUUGUGGACACUGAAUGAAUGUUCUGGGGCGUUCACCCACCAGUAAUCCUCAUUGUACACCAGUAAUCCUCGUUGUGAACACUGAAUGAAUGUCCCCAGCACCGCCCGCCGUUCUUUUCUUGCCCUUGUCUUUCGACUCGGCAAUAGCUUCCCUUUCUUCACGUACAUGGGCGCUACCGUGCUCCGCCCACAAGGCUCUAUCGAAGACCUCCGCAAAGGUCGACAGCUUCAAAAUUUGCACUUUCUCAUAUAUCCGGGGCUGGAGUCCUCGCAAGAACCAAUCCGCCCGCUCCCGAUCAUCACGAACAACAUCGGGAACACAGUCUAUGAUGUGGGAGAACUCUUUCUCGUAUUCCCCCACCGAUCGAUCACCCUGUCUCAACUUGCGAAACUUUUCUUGUAGCUUCCGCUUCACCGUGUCGGGGAAGUAGUUCGCGAAUACCGCUCUCUUGAACUCCUCCCAAAGCAUAAGCGGAAGAUCGGUAGGACGAUCCCGCUUCACUCGCUUCCACCACACCUUUGCCGCUUUCUCAAGACAAUGGGUGACGAGGUACACUUUAUCCUUCUCCGAGGUAUUGAGGUCCUCGAAGAGCGUCUCCAUUGAGUCGAUCCACGACUCCACAACCGCCGGCUCCACCAAACCGCCUUCGAAGGCAGGUGGGUCGAACUUCUUGAACUGAAUGAGAGCCGCCAACGUGCGCUCUCGCUCCGCUUCUACCGCCGCGCUAUCGGGAUUUGAGGUUCCCGAUCCGGCCGGUACUACCGUAACUGGAACAGCCGCUGCUGCCGCCGCUCCCUCGUCGACGCUCGGCACUACCAUAGGGGGCGCGACACGCUCGACACCCGCCUGGGCCGCCGCCGCCUGCUGAAGCUCCAAGGUCUCCUGGAGCCGCUGAAUCUGUUCCCCUUGGCGUUGAACAGACUCUGCUUAUUGCCGUACUACGCCGAUAAGCGCGGCCAUCUGCUCCCUAAGCUCUCCGUCGCCACUCGCUCCGGAUGGCUCGGGCGCCGCAUUCGACUCCUCAGGCAUCGAACUUGUCUGCGGUCGUCCACGAGGUGCCAUUGCUUCUUGAAAAGAAGCAACUCGCAUUAGUCACUUAGCCAACAUUACUUGACCAUACCCAAUUAGGCGAAAGCAACAUACACAUUCAUCCUUGCCUCAAGCGUCAUGUCGUCGGCCGCCCGACACAACACUAGAAGUAGAGGAUAAACGAAAUUUAAGCUUAGCCUCUAAUCACAUUAGAGACGUCCCAUCUUAACCCAAUCACAUGCUUUCGCUAACUUUGAUCCCACGUCACUCACGUUUCCUAGAUCCUUAAGGCCUUCCAAUCCUAAGGGUCUCUAGGUCCAUUCCUAUUCUUUCACUAUUGGCUCUGAUACCCACGAUAUCUGUCCACGCCCCGUGAGCCGAUACCAAUUUGGCGCGCCGAGCACCGUCAAACAACGCCGAACGGACAGAGUUUCCCUAUCCGCCCAAGGCUCAUCACGUGUUCAAAUUCAAAACAAGAAAUGCACUAGCGGAAAAUACACAAACGACUUACACGAGGUAAGCAAUAGCCAUUAGUGAAAGAAAGAAAACUAAACAUUCACAUUGUACUAUAUUCAUUUUUGAUCAUAUACAUUGCAUCAUCUUGUUCAUUUUCGAAUUCCUUACAUUUCAUUUCAUAAUUUCUUUCUUACUAAUCACAUUACCUUCAUGUACAAAAGAUGAUCAUAGGGUACUUUACUACAAAAUGAAACCCAAGCUUUGGUGGCCUCUGACUAAGGCGCGAUACAUUUACCUCGGUCGCUCGCCGGCUCGCAUCGGUCCACGGCUCUGUGAAAUAGUGGGUGAGAACUACAACAAAGUUCCCAGUGGUUCGGCCUCAACAUCACCAACUUUCCCACUAGGACUAGCUCAGGCAUAAUGAAAAAUAAGCUGCAUAUAGUAACCAAUCUAUAUCAUGAUGGCUAAUAUGCCUGAACAAUAAAGCAGAAAUAUGCUCAACAUUAAAUAAAUGCAGAUUAUACAAAUUCUUUGUUCUUUUCACUUUACUCUUUGUUCUUUGUUCUUUGUUUUUUGCACUUGUUCUUUGCUCUUUGUUCUUUAAUCUCAAGGCUAACCCGGGGGCAUCGCCACAUUGACUUGCUUCACAUUAAGUCCAUCAUCGCAGGAACUCACCCGCUAGGACCGUCCUUCGGGUUUACUCCAACCCAUGAUGCAUAACUCCGGAGCGCAUCGCCCGAGGGGGAUCGACCGCCCUCGAGCACGGAACUCAUAGCAAGUAUGAUCAUAUCCUUAACUCAAAGGAUUUAUAAGUUCAAUCUUGACUUUACACUAGCUCUAGUGUUCUUUCAGCACUUUUAUUGCCACUCUAGCAAUCAUUGUUCUUUACCAUUCUUUACUCUUGCUAUCUCUAGCAAUUAUAUUCUUUACAUUCUUUACUUUUGGCUACCUCUAACACUUCAUGUUCUUUACUCCCCACAUUACUUUAACUUUAAGCAUUGUCAUUUUCAUCAUUCUUUACAUUACAUUGGUUCUUUACCUCACACUAUCUCUAGUGUCAUUUCACUUUAACUUUAUCAAAUGUCACUCGAUCUAUGUCAUUGUGUCACUCUGUUCUUUUGCUCACUUUGGGUGCUCACUUUUCUCUCAUUCAUACACAUAGGGCUUUCGACGUUUACAUAGUUCUCAUUCAUCAUAUUAUGCAAGUUGUACUCACAAUCAUGCAUCAUUACAUUUUUAUCACCACUUUACCCUAAAUGCAUGCAACAAUAUAUAUACACAUGCUCAAAUGAAUGACACAUUAGGCAUAGAGAGAAGUUCAAUGAGUUUGAGAAGCACCACCCACCUCGUAGGUCUAUUUAGGUGCUCCGACGAUUUUCUUGGGAUUUUUAGACUCCUUGUUCUUUACCUGCGGCAUAACGAAGCCAACUUAGGUCAUUUUGCUCAUAACUUUACAUCGGCUUUCCGUAACGCUAAUCCGAGCGCACCAACGCGUCGGAAAUACCCCCAAUUAGGUUUCUAGAGGGUCAAUUGCACUUAGAAGUUCCCAUGAGUAAAAGCCCCAAUUUGGGUGCCCUAGCUCCAUAGCAUCAUCAAACCUAGGGUUUGAUCUCAAUGGAAAGCAAAAGUAAUUUCAUUAUACUCUAAAAAGUCCAUUAGAACCAUCUUUAGACAAAUCAAAACCCUACUUAGGGUUUCACCAUGAGAGGUGAUGAAGCUCACCUCAAGCUUCACCAUUUCUAUGGUCUUGAUCUCAAAAGAAGCAAAAGAAAAGCUUCAAAUACUCUAAAGGUUACAUAAAAAUCAUCUUUGCUCUAAUCCAAACCCUAGUUUGGAAUUUAACAUCAGAAGGGGCAAAUCUUACCUCUAAGCUUGCUCCUUUCUUGCACUAUAGAGAAGGAAGAUGGAGUUGCCUCACUCCAAUGGCUUCUUCUCCACUUUCUUCUUCUUUUCCUCCCUUUUCUUGUCUUCUUCUUCUCCUCCUUGGCUUCUAGAGAGAGAGAGGGAGAGAAGAGAGUGUGAGAGGAUGAGAAUGAGAGAAAUGUCUCAUUUGUCCCCUUACUAUACUCUAUGGGUUGCAAAAUUGCAGCUAAACCCCUCAACAUUCACUCUUUCACACAGCCUGGACUGGGCUGUUCGCACAGGCGGGGACCGGUCUCUCCUUCAGGGACCGGUUCCCGAAGGCUCUCCCCGCACAGCCAGAGCUGCUGCGCGCAGGGCAACCGGUCUCUCUUUGGGAGACCGGUCUCUCGGGGACCAGUCUCUCAGGCAGGGACCGGUUCCCGAGAGCUAAUUUCUCAGGACUUAGCCGAUUUUUCGGCUGUCUCAUUUCAUACGCGUUCGGGGACCGGUCUCUCCCACCAGGGACCGGUCCCCGAGAACUCAAAACUGCAGAAUGCAGAUUUUGAUUCUAUAGCUCUCGAAAACCUCCCGUAACUCACUUUUAAUCAUUUUAACACCUUCGGACUUUCCAAAGUGUACCGCCCUCGCACUUUGGUCAAUUUGACUAAAGUUCGACAUUUUUAUUUUCCGAAUUUUCGGUAUAUUACACUGGCAGACUCUGAAACUUGCCAGCAGGUACCUGAUACUCGGUCUUUAUUUGUUGACAAGUCAAACACUGAGCCACAAAUCUGCUAAUGUCCCUCUUCAUUCCAUUUCCACCAAAACUGGGCCUUUAAGUCCUUAUACACCUUGAUUCCACCGGGGUGAACCGUAUAAGGUGAACAGUGAGCCUCUCUCAAAAAGUCCUCUCGGAUCUCUGAAUCCAUAGGUACACACAGUUGAUCCCUGUACCGCAGUACUCCCAAACUGUCUACAGCAAAACCCUCAGUCUGUCCCCUCUCAAACCGCUCUCGAAUCCUCGACAAGUGUAGAUCUCCACUCUGUUUCUCUCGGAUCCUAUCCAACAGAGUGGGUUGCAAGACGACAGACAUCAGUCUUACAGUCGAUCCAGGGGACACUAUCUCGAGUCUCAGCCGCUGCAGCUCCUCGAGUAACGGCCUCUGCUGAGUGAUCAACAAGCUCAAGCUCUGCACUGCCUUCCUGCUCAACGCAUCUGCCACCACAUUUGCCUUGCCGAGAUGAUACUGAAUACUAAUAUCAUAGUCCUUCAGUAACUCCAACCACCGACGUUGCCUUAGGUUCAACUCCCUCUGGGUGAACAGAUACUUGAGACUUUUAUGAUCGGUGAAAACCUCGCAGUGCUCACCAUAUAAGUAAUGCCGCCACAACUUUAAGGCAAAGACUACCGCAGCAAGCUCCAAGUCAUGCGUAGGGUUAUUCUUCUCGUAAUCCUUUAACUGCAGUGAAGUAUAAACAAUUACCCUACCAUGUUGUAUCAGCACACAGCCCAACCCGCUGUGCGAUGCAUCACUGUAGAUCACAAAUCCUUCCCCCAUCACAGGAAGGGUAAGGAUAGGAGCUGACAUCAACCUUUGUCUCAACUCAUCAAAGCUCCUCUGACAAUCCUCACUCCAGACAAACUUAAUUCCUUUACGAGUCAGUCGAGUGAGUGGUGUGAAAAGCUUCGCAAAGCCUUCCACAAACCGACGGUAAUAACCAGCAACCCUAAGGAAACUCCUCACCUCUGUCACCGUCGUGGGUCUGGGCCAAUCCCGACUAGCAUCAAUCUUCUUCGGGUCCAUUGCCACUCCAACCGCAGAUAUCACGUGGCCCAAGAAAGCAACCUCCCACAACCAAAACUCGCACUUCUUUAACUUGGCAUACAACUUCUCUCGCAAAAGCUGUAGCACAGUCCUCAAGUGCUCCUCAUGCUCGGCAUCGCUCCGAGAGUAUAUCAGAAUGUCAUCAAUGAAGACUACCACUAACCUAUCCAAGUACGGCUUGAACACUCUGUUCAUCAAAUCCAUGAAUGCGGCAGAGGCAUUCGUCAAUCCAAACGGCAUCACCGUAAACUCAUAAUGCCCGUACUGAGUCCGAAAAGCCGUCUUGGGAACAUCCUCGGCCCUCACCCUCAACUGGUGGUAACCUGACUAGAGAUCAAUCUUCUAGAAAACACAAGAUCCUAGCAGCUGAUCAAACAGAUCAUCAAUGCGCGGCAAAGGAUUCUUGUUCUUGAUGGUCACCUUAUUCAGCUCCCAGUAAUCCACGCACAACCUGAGCGAACCAUACUACUUCUUUACAAACAACACUGGUGCUCCCCAAGGCGACGCACUGGGUCUCACAUACCCCUUGUCCAUCAAAUCCUGAAGCUCCGCCUUUAGCUCUCUCAGCUCCGCCGGUGCCAUCCUGUAAGGUACCUUCAAGAUUGGUACAGUUUCAGGAACUACAUCAAUCACAAGCUUUAUCUCCCUCUCCGGCGGCAUCGUCGUCAACUCCGAGGGAAAGCACGUCCGAAAACUCGCGGACUAUAGGGAUAUCCUCUAGUCCCGGCGCCGCCGUAGGCACCUCUGUCACAGUCGCCAGAAAAGCAACGCAUCCUCUACUCAUCAACUGUCGAGCCCUCGCCAAAGACAUCCAAGUGGAAAACAAAGUACUCCUGCAGCCUCAGAAAGUGAACUCCUCCUGGCCUGGCUCACAGAACGUCACAGUCCUCGCUCCACAGUCGAUAGUAGCAUAGUACCGCGCUAGCCAAUCCAUACCGAGUACUACAUCAAAGUCCUGCAGUUGCCCUAACACCAACAAGUCUGCGAGCAUGAUCCAAGAAUCUAACUGCACCGAACAUGACCAACAACACUCUGCAACCUGUAAAACAUGGUCGGGGAUUUGCACAUCCCGUGCCUGUGACAAUGACCCUAACUCUAGACCAUACAACAAUACAAAUGCUCGGCUAAUGACAGAAUGUAAGGCACCGGUAUAAAAAAGAGUAUGAGUACGAAUGCUGAAAAUCAGAAUGAUACCUGCCACCACUCGAUCGGCUGCUGUAGAGUCCUCCACCUGAGCUGCGUAAACUCUGCCACUCGGAGCCUGCUGUCGCCGCUCAGCCUGACGCAGCACAGACGAUCUGUCCUCCUGGCGGAAACUCGGUGCUGCUCCAAAGAACUGGUAGGAUGCAGGCUGCGCUGAUGCAGUGGAUGGUGCUGGGGAUGCUGCACGAGGACAAGCUAAUCUCAUAUGUCCGGGCUGACCAUAAGUGUAGCAGCGGCCCUCUCUUUGCUCAUAUUGUCAGGGCCAGUGUGGUCCCCCACAGAUCACGCACUGCAGCGUCUUCGGUGACCGUCCCUGCUGAUGGGAUCCCUGGAACGCUGACGCCCCGAUGACCCACGACCCUUAGAUCGAGAUCGUGGAGGUCUCGGUGGACGUCUGCUGCUCAUCUGAUCGCCGUCAUCUGGAAAAGGGCGCUUCUUAUCCUGGCUCUGUUCCGGUGCCAUAGUCCGCUCCUGGACUGAUAUACCUCCGUGCUCCACCCAGAGUGUCUGCUGCACAGAUGCUCGUGGCUCACCGCCCGACCACUGAGUAAUAGUCUCGCACAUUCUCUGCAAUAGUACUCCCUGCUGCUUGAUCACCUCUGUCAAGGUAGCCAACUGCUCUCUCAAAUCAGGGGGUGCACUCGCCUCUGGUCGUGCACUCGGCUCUGCCUGCUCAGGCAUCUCACACGGUGCGGUACGAUCCCGGGUCGACGAUCGACCUCGGCGACGAUACAUAGCUGAAAGGAACAGAGUAGGGUCAGACAAAACACAAACACUCUCGACCCAAUCAAACGAAAGUCUAGAAGGCGGUCUCUGUUUCUCCUCAAAAUUAUGUCGUCUGCAGCCAACAUAAUUUUUCUGGACCGAAACAAAAACUCCUUCAAUCACUCCCUCCGCUUCAGGAGGAGUUAGAACAAUCAAUCAGUGACUUUCGCGAUAAAUCACGCCUCUCGCAUCUUGUCUUCCUAAGGUUUGCCAACGUAGGGUUCCUAGGUCCCAAUGACCUACAGCUAAGCUCUGAUACCAACUUAAUCUGUCACGCCCCGGAUUACUCGUUUCUCCGGGCUCGCUAACAGACCCGCCGUAUACAUAGGUAUUUUUUCUGUAUACGAAGCGAAAAAGUAGAAGUACCGGUAAUCAUACAAUACUACCAACAGUAGUAUAGAGCAGCUAGGAAAAUAAACCAUAUAAAAACGAUGGUUCAAUACAUACGUGUCAUCCAAGGUAUACAAACACUCGCUCUAGCGAGAUACAACAACAGUAUGUAAAGACCCAAAAACUACAACUACCUGUAGCUGGUGCUCCUCUAGCUCUGCGACUCGGCUGGAAGGGCUCUAGCUCGCGAUGCCCUUGCCACGAUCAUGAUCGGUAACAGCAGCAGCCGAAGGCAACGGUUCUGCAAAAACAGUGGUAACAUCUGGGUGUGAGAACUACUGUAAAAACAAGUAGUUCUCAGUGGGUACCGCCCUCAACUCAUCGGCUCACCCACUAAGUCUACAGAUCUAAGCUCAGUGAUAGAAAAGGAAGCUGGAACAAAUCUACAGCUACAUGCCACUAUCCUACCAUGCUCCAAUACUACUAUCUGUAGAGUAAUGCAACCUCAGACCCAAAUCCAUAGGGACUGAAUACACCAGUCCCAGGGACUGUGAACGCACCCGUCCCACCUGUCGAAUUCUAAAUGCUACCUCCAUACUAAUCAGUCCGUAGAGAGCAAGUCCAACCAGGACACUGUACAACGCAAACGCACAAAGCCCUACUCCGGAGUGGCACACGUGGGCGCUACCCAACCGAGUAUGCAAGCGUAUCUCUAUUGAGCUCAAUCAGACUCUCACAGGCUAUAAUCAAAUAAACAUGGUCCAACUGGUCUAACAACCAAAACUCACGUGCCCUCGGCACAAACUGAUGCAAAACCAGUAAUCUGAGUCCACCGUCAACCCCGACGACACCCGACAGUCUGAAACAGCCUAGACACUGCUGUAAAAAUAAGCUCUGCAUCUCCGCACGAGCGUAACUGCAUUCUACACUAUUCCGGGUAUCCACCACCAACAAACUGUGGUGAUACAGAUCUAUUACAGCUCCUAAACUUUCAGCAUAUCAAAUGCGCACAACAGUGUGGAUACUAUCCGCGACAACUUCCGAGGCUGUUUGAGUAUCAAAUGCGCACUAACAGCGGGGAUACGAAGCACAACAGCUUCAGAAGUUAUCUGAGUAUCAAAUGCGCACAACAGUGGGGAUACGAAGUACAAAAGCUUAAGAAGCAAACAGAAAGGAUAGUGUAGAACCUACAGUUAAAAUAUUACCCCAAGCUCGGCAUCCCGCCCAACUGUAAAUGCAUUCUAAACUAUCCUGAGUAUCCACUGCGCAGAAACUGCGGUGAUACAAACCAACCCCGGCUCCUAGAGCUAAAUCAGGCAGUUUAAGCGUAUGACGGGUUAAAAUCGCUGGUUUUCUCCUAAGUCAAAUUCCAAGUCCAACAUGUAUAUUCAUCUAAUUAAUAGUAAGGCUCCCAAUUCAGAUUUCAUACAUACUACAAUCAAUGAAUUUGAGCUACAACAUGAUAUACAAGACCCGAAAUUAUACAUGUGACUACAAACACUUAGGAGCGAAACCGAUGAAACACCCAACUCUAGUGCAAUUUCCAGGCAGCAAGAAAGUCACAAAUUGCUGCAGGCCUCAGCCGAGAUUACCCACAACCAGCAACAAAGCUACUCGAAGGAUCUACACCCAAAAAAUCCAUUAAAAUCCAUCAACUCAGCUAAUUUCAGCACUUAAGCUUAAUUGUCUCAACUCCAAUGUCAAAACUCACCUAAUAUACUCCAAUUCAGGUGAGGCAAGUUACAAAACCAAUGAAUAAUGAUGGAGUAUCAAUCUCAGGUCCAAAAUCCUGCUCCUUCCAAGAAUUGCACCAAGAAAAACCCAAAAUCAGAUUUUCAGCUCAAAGUCACUAGCAGUCCAGAAAAAUAUGGAAUCGACCAAGCUAACCUCAACCAAAAUCUGAAAUUCAGGGCUUCAUGGAUUCCUCAGGAAGUCUAGAAUCUAGCAAACCAAGUUUCACUGUAAUCCGGCCUUCCUACGUCGCACACGAGCCAAAAUACCGAAGAUCAUCGCUGGAAGACUGCAAAAUCAGCACUCCACCACUUUCCAAUUGAAAGAUUGGAUGAAAUCCGGGGGAAAUCGAGGAGUGGAAGAGAAAUAAGAGGUGCUACUGUAAAGAGAGAGUGAAAAGAGCUCACCAGAGUCACUCUCCACCUAUUUAUAGGGUGUUGGAAUGGUAGAAUAAGCCCCAAGAAUAGCUGCUGCAAUCUGGUGUCCCUGCAGUCUCGGGCACUUCCGGGCGCCCGGACCCACAUUAUGGGCGCCCGAAUCCUCCAGGCUACACAAAGCUUCUUCCUCGGACUCUCCGCCCGCGGUGUGCUGCGCCCGUAUCCGGCUCCGGCGGACCUCACCUACCACCAGCCACGUGUCAGCGCAAACGAUACUCACGAGGUGAACUUUCGGACCCACAUCCGGGCGCCCAAAACAUGGACCCGAAUUGGCUACCACUUCUGCUCAAUUCUGCACUCAAUUUCUGGCCGACCCAAAGCCAGUUCUGUACGCCCGAAUCUGGCAAAACUCGAGUUUUGCUUAUUUAAGUGCGCCGAGUCCAUUUCUGCAUCCAUUUCGCGCAAAAAAGACUCCGACUCAGUCCGACACUCUCCAGAUGUGUCGACCAGUCACUAACACUGAAGCCAAUCCUUUCAAAAGCUCAGAAGCACUACAAUAUUAAUUUUUAAAAUUUUAAACUAAUAUAUAUUAAAUUAUUAAAAAAAAUUAAUAAAUUCAUUGAUUUUAUUUAACUUCUCAACUUUUAACUUCUAAUAAAUUAAUGCUGGUUCAGGAGUUCUCCGCACGUUUUAAUAAUAAGUUAAAAAGCCAAAAAGGCAGUUAAUGAUGAUGCGAAGCACCUAAACAAAAGCAAAAGUGCAAAGACAGCGACGUAAACCAGACAGCAGGAAUACGCGUCUCCUUCGACGUCGUUCGCGAGCUGUGUAGAACGUUUGUCUUUCCAUAUAUCCAUUGGCUGGAACUACAGCAUAGUCUAUUGAGCAAUGUUAUUGGNUAUAUAUAUAUAUAUAUAUAUAUAUAUUUACAUUAACCCACUUAUUUUAUAAAAUUAGUUUAUUCACUAAAAUCGGAAAGAGAUUAUAUCAAAUUUUGGAUCAAGAGUGAAAGCUAUAUAUUCCCUACAAAGAAUGUAGAUAAAGUGUUUGAUAAUUCCUCGAAAAACUUUGAAAAUUUAUUUUUUGAAAAAACAAAUUCAUGAAAAACCCAAUCUUUUAGAUCUUUUUAUUUUCGCAUAAAAAAUUUAGGGAAUGAACACGCUACUUUUUCAAAAAUUUGAAAAAAAAAAAUCUAUCUUUUUUUGAAAACCAAACAGACAAAAAUUAUUUUUGAGUCAGAAAAGUAUCACCUCACAGUAUUUUCUAGGAAACCAAACACUCCCUUAUUGGUUUAAAAUUUUCUAAAUGGGCAGACUAUAUAUGUUGUAUACCUUAUACCCUUUAAAUCCUAAGGUUUAUAAACCAUCCGAUCCAUGAAGCCAUAAAGAGACUAGUACAUAAGAUUUAGGGACAACUGUUUAUAUACUUUUGAAAAGUUUUCAAUUUUCUGAUUUACCCCUCUUAGAAGGCUAAUAUUGAAAAUACAUUUUUUACGUUCCAAUCUAUUUCAAAUAUUCUCCUAGAGUUAAAUUCUGUUAAUAAACUGUUGGUAAUAAUUGUUAUCUGUAUAAAAUUACUAGUUUGCCCUUUCAAAUGUACCCUUCCAACAUCACCAACUUCUCUUAUUUGCCCUUAAGUUACGAGCACAAAAAGUAUUUUGAUUUUUAAUCUUUUCAAAUAUACCCUUCUACCAUCACCAAUAUUUCUUAUUUGCCCUCAAGUUACGGGCGAAAGCGGUAUUUUAAUUUUUUUUAACUCUAGUAAAUAUUUAACUCAUGUUUAAUCCAAGUUAAGUUAACGGGUGGUAACUGUAUGGAUAUUUUGAAAUAACGGAAGAAUAUAUGAGAGAUAUAUUAGAAAAAAAAAAAAGAAUAAAUGAGAUAUUUCUAAAAUAUUGAGAGGUAUAUAGGCAAUUAUCCCUAAGAUUUAUACCUACAUGCUUGGUGUAUAGUUAGCAGUGCUCUAUUAGUUUAUAGUAUUUUGAAAACUUCAUGUAUUUUAUAUUUGAGGGCAUGUUAAAUAUUAGAAUAAAAUAUAUAAAAAUAACUUAUUCCAUAUAGUCUAAUUUGAGGGCAUGGAUAACUAAUAUGGUAUAAAUCUCUUUAAUUUACUAAAAAAAAUAUCAUUGUCGAUGGAUGAAAAGUGUGAUCAAAUAUUUAGAAUAGAAUACCAUAUUCGGUAUUCAAGUAAUUUUUUUAAAAUAAGAUAAAAUACCUCCUAAGUGAAAUAUGUUAUCAUUUCAAAUUAUGAUUAUUGAGAUCUUUUAAGAAACAAAAUUCAAAUUUCUAAUGUUCAAUCAGGCAAGAAAAUCUUCAUCACAAUUAAGGUAUCAAAUAAUAUCUUUUUUCUGACUACCAACUCGAGGGCUACAAAAUUCUUUUUGUGAGCAAGUGCAAGCUAGCUUUUUUAUUUUUUUGCUUCGUAAAAGAUCUCGGUAUACAUGAUUUGGUGGAUAACAUAUUUUAUCUGUAGUGUGAUUUAUUAUAAAAAAAAAUGACUUGAAUGCCAAAUAAGGUAUUCCUUUUAGAUAUUUAACCACACUUCUUAUCUACUACAAACUUCUUGAACUCGAAUUGUUAAAAACAGACAACAAAUUCAUUUAAAGUGUACAAACACAAUACCCACGAGUUUUUUUGGUGACUCGACCCAUCCUAACCUCUACCACGUAACCAACAGGCUGUGAUAGUGGCUUAGUCCAAUCCGGCCUUUGUCAUAAGGCAGAUGUUGGCUUCUUUAAUUCAAAAAUUUUUUCUAGUAUCUGCACAUACAUAUUUCAAUAUGCGAGCAUCAAAUUUGUAACCUGCUAUGAUACCACUGGUUGUAUCAUCGGAAGUAACUGCCAAUUUUAAAAGCUCAAGAUAUUAGAAAACGACAACCAAUCACUUUUAUCCGAAAAAAAAAUACCGCAGAAAAUAGUUUUCUAAUUGGAAAACUAUUUUUUGCCGUUUGGUUGCUCAGGAAAUUAAGUAAUUUUUCUGAAAAAGAAAAAUAUUUCUGGUUUCAUAAAAAAUUGCUCUUUUCAUUUUUCAAAUUUUCUUUCCAGAAACAAAAACUAUGGAUAAAGAUUUUCUUUUAUGAAAAACAUUUUUUUUCCGAAACAAUUUUGCACACUUUUCUAAGAAACCAAACACUCCCUCAAAGCAUAUUGACAAAUCAUCCAUGAGCCUCAAUUCUGACUUGGCCCAAUCUGGCCUCCACAGCGUAGAUCGCAAGCUAGUUUCUAUAUUUGGUCACUUCCAUAUUGAAUAUUUGGUGUUGAAUUUUAACAUAUUGAACUUUUAAGGGCGAAUUAUCAUUUAGUAGAAGUUUAAAUAACUUUGAUAAUUUUUAUCAUUCUAUUUUAUAAUUGCGAAUAAAAUAUAAUAUUUUUUAAUUUAAAUAUUUUAAUCAGAUUUAUCGUAAUGUAAUUGGUUGAUCUAUUUACUAUAUACUAAAGUAAAACCUUUUCUGUAUGGCUUUCUAUAUGCUUGCCAGGUAUCAAACUCAAAUAUAGAAUAGCAAUUUUAUUAGUAAACACUAUUAAAUCAAAUUAUACCAAUUAACAAAUUAUACCAAUUAAAUAUAACUAUAUAUACAAUUAGGAAACACUAUUAAAUCAAAUUAAAUCAAAUUAUACCAAUUAAAUAUAAUUAUACAUUAGGUUAACAAGAAUCAUAUUAGGAAACACUAUUAAAUUAAAUUUAAUCAAAUUAAAUCAAAUUAUACCAAUUAAAUAUACUUAUAUAUACAAUUAGGAAACAUUAUUAAAUCAAAUUAAAUCAAAUUAAAUACAAUUAUUUACAUCUAUUCUAUUUACUAUAUACUAAAAUAGAACCCUUUGUGUAAAGCUGCCACGUGGCUUUCUAUAUACUUGCCACAUGUCAAAUUCAAAUAUAGAAUAGCAAUUUUAUUAGGAAACACUAUUAAAUCAAAUUAAAUCAAAUUAUACCAAUUACAAAUUAUACCAAUUAAAUAUAAUUAUAUAUACAAUUAGGAAACACUAUUAAAUCAAAUUAUACCAAUUAAAUAUAAUUAUAUAUACAAUUAACGAGAAUUUUAUUAUAUUAGGAAACACUAUUAUAUCAAAUUAAAUAAAAUUAAAUCAAAUUAUACCAAUUAAUAAAUUAUACCAAUUAAAUAUAAUUAUAUAUACAAUUAACAAGAAUUUUAUUAGGAAACACUAUUAAACAUUAUUAUAAUAAUUAUACUCAAAUAUAUAAUAGCAAUUGUUUUAGGAAACACUAUUAAAUCUAAUUAAAUCAAAUUAUACCAAUUAAAUAUAAUCUAUUUCAUAUAUACUAAAGUAGAAUCUUUUGGUGUAAAACUAACACGUGUCUUUCUAUAUAUUUGCCACGUGUCAAACUCAAAUAUAGAAUAGCAAUUUAGUAAAUAGAUUAGAAAACACUAUUAAAUAAAAUUAAAUCAAAUUAUACCAAUUAAAUAUAAUUAUAUAUACAAUUAACUAGAAUUUUAUUAGAAAACACUAUUAAGCACUAUUAUUAUAAUUAUAUAUACAACUAACUAAAAUUUUAUUAGGAAACACUAUUAAACACCAUUAAAUCAAAUUAUAAAUAGGUAAGUAGUUUAUUUUUCUUCAUGUUAUUUCAAAAAUUAUAAUUUUUCAACAAUUCAACUCUGUUAUUUUUUUUUUAAAAUAAAUUUAGAUUAUUUUCUGAAAAAUUUCACUAAUAUUAUAAUAUUUAUUAUUUUACUUAUCUAACAAUUUAUCUAUAUUGCUAUUGGAAUAAGUAUUUUCUAUCUUCAUGCAACAAAGUUUUUUUUUUCCUUCAUAUUUUCUUGAAGACCAACAUCUAUAUAUAUUUGAAUCUUAGAAGUUGGUAUAUCUCUCAUAUACGUGUGCUUAUUCUAAUUUGUGUCAAACAUAAAAGUUUAAUUGAUCUCAUUAUAUGCUUAAAUAUUAAUGUCAUUUGUAAUUUUUCAUAUCAACUUGAGUUCUUUUUUUGUUUUGCACAUUAAUAUAUAAAUGUAAAUUGUUUUGCACAUCAAUUCAUAGAUAAUAGAGCAUGAUUGAAUUUUGCUCUUUACCUUAGUAUUUAGUUCGGUCCAUAAUUUUGUUUCUCUAGCUUUUGUAUUUUAAUAUGUACUAUAAUUAAGAUUGAUAGUAUAUUUCUUUAUUUGUUAAAAAAAUAUAAUAUUAAUUAGAAUAUUUUUCUUUUAUCAUCACAUAAUAACUUUUGUUAUUUUAUAUUAUUAUAUUAACCGUGCAUCUAGACCUGGCAAUCUCGACCCAUACCCGUGGGUGCCCGCGGGUUACCCGCAAAUUUGCGAGUAUGGGUACCAACUUUUCAAACCCAAAAAAUUAUAGGUAAAACGGGUGGGUACCCAUUAAGCUAUAGGCAUUUUGGGUAACCCGCGGGAUGCAAACGGAUCCGGGUUGGUGGAGCUCCCGCCCCGAUCUGCCCCGACGGGAGCAGUAAACGGGAGAAAAUAAACGGAUUCGGGGCAGGAAAUGGGGUAAGUUUUACGAUCCGAGACGGAUUCGGGGCAGGAAACGGGAAAAAUUUUGACCCGCCCCGAAUCCGCCCCGAAUCCGCCCCGCCCCGAAUCCGCCCCGAAUAUCAUUUGUAUUUUUAAAAAAUAUUCCAAAAAAAUAAUAUAUUUACAAAAAAAGUUUAAAAUACAAAUAAGUUAUUACUCUCAUUUCUAAUGUAUUUGAAAUAUUUGAAUUUUGUUUUGAAUUGUGAUUGAUAUUUUUAAUUUUUACCAUUCAUAUUGUUAAAUUAUAAUAUAAUAUUAUUAAAAAAUUUUAAUUUAUAUUUUACAAAAUAUUAAUAAUAUUAUAAUUUUAUAAAAAAUAUUAGUUGGCGGGGCGGAUUCAGGGCGCCGGCGGGAGGCGGGUUACGAGGCGGGGCGGGUUAUGGGAUGUAUUUUUUAACCAGUCACGGAUUUGGGGCCGGAGAUGGGGCGGGAUUUUGCUAGUCGGGGCGGAAGGCAGGGCGGGGCUCCCGCCCCGAGAUCCGCCCCGUUUGCAUCCCUAUCUAUACAUAAGAUGUGGUGGAUCAUGUUUACGGAAGAGAUUACUAAAAAGCAUGGCCUUUUAGAUUGGACUAGGAACAGCAGAGCGAUUGGAGAGACGUACGCGGUUUUCACGAUUUAAGCUUAAUGUGAAAUAAUGUUUUUUUUGCCUUUGACUCAUUAGAACUUAAAAAGCGUAGGUACAAUGCCCACGAGGUCAACUCUUUUACUUGACAAAAGAACUUUUUAAGGGGAAAAAAAAAUAAAUAAAUAAAGAAACAUUGUAUUGAGACCCCUUAGGUUUGUUUGAUUCGGAUAUAAGUCAUAACUAUUUAUUCAAGUGAUACGUAUAAGUUCAGAUAUAAGAAGGAAUAAGAUUAUUUUGUAUUUAGAUGAAAAUUGGGCUAUUUCUGGGUAUUAAGAAAAAAAAAAGUUUGAAUAAUUAGAUUGUAAUAGUGAGAAUUAAUAAGAGUAAAUACUGUUUAUAAUAAUAAUAUUUUAUCUAAUUAGUUAAUAUAAAAAUAUUAAUUAAAUAAUAUUUUAUCUAAUUAGUUAAUAUAAAAUUUUACCUAAUUAAUUAAUAUCAAAAUAUUAAUUAAUAAUAAUUAACUUAACAAACUAAUAAAUAUUUCAGCUAUGAAUAGUGGAUAAGAUAAUGGAGAAAUACAUUAAUUAAUUAAUUAAUUAAUUAUAAAUUAGUUAAUUUUUUAAUUAGUUAGUGUUUAGAUAAUUCGUUAAGACAUUAAUUAGAUUAGUCAAAACAUUAAUGGUUGAUCAAUAUAAAUAUUGGUUAUUGGAUAAACAUAUUAAAUUAUUAAUUUUCAAUUAGUUAAUUAAUAAUAAAUAAUAAAUUGAUUAAUUACUUUACUAUUUAUUAUUUAAGCAAUAGACAAUGACUUAAAUAUAUUAAUUAGAUUAAUUAACGAUGUAAUAUCAUAAUUAAAAUUAAAUUUAGAUUUUAAUUAAGCUUGUUCCAGGAGGAAGAGUUGUUCCAAGAUAAUACCAGCUUAUUCCCGUAAAAGGGCAACUACUAUUCUCGAUUACCAUUAUUGGUGUUCG
rnacentral:lncRNA from 1 species